rnacentral:rRNA from 1 species
UACGUAGGGGGCAAGCGUUGUCCGGAAUCAUUGGGCGUAAAGCGCGCGUAGGCGGCCCGGUAAGUCCGCUGUAAAAGUCCAGGGCUCAACCCUGGAAAGCCGGUGGAUACUGCCGGGCUAGAGUCCGGAAGAGGCGAGUGGAAUUCCACGUGUAGCAGUGAAAUGCGUAGAGAUGUGGAGGAAUACCGAUGGCGAAGGCAGCCCCCUGGGAUAACACUGACGCUCAUGCACGAAAGCGUGGGGAGCAAACAGG